UUACGGCCACAUCAUGUUGAAACACUGGUUCCCGUACGAUUACUGUUGUUAAGCAACAUCGAGCCUGGUCAGUACCUAGAUGGCUGACCGCAUGGGAAUACCAGGUGCUGUAA